UACCAUCCUCCCCUGUUUAUCCAAAACCUGGUCUUCUGAUUAUAAUAUAAAAUUGGUUCUGCUCAAUGAAAAUUUUUAAAUAGCUGCAGUAUUUUAACUGUACUAAGGUAGCAUAAUAAUUUGUUUAUUAAAUGUAAACUGGAAUGAAUGAAUUGAUAAAAUAAAAACUUUAUUAAUUUAAUUUAAUUGAAUUUAUUUUUUUAGUUAAAAAACUGAAAUUAAUUUAUGGGACGAGAAGACCCUAUAGAAUUUUAUAAAUUUUUAUUAUUAAAUUUUUUUUUAUAUUUAAAAUUAAAAAUUUAUUUAAUUGGGAGGAUGAUUAAAUUUAUAAAACUUUAAUUUUUAAAAUUCAAUGAUUAUUGAAUUUAAAGAAUUUUUAUUAAAAUUUAUAAGAAAAAUUACCUUAGGGAUAACAGGGUACUAUUUUUGGAGAGAUCAAAUUGAUAAAAAUGUUUACGACCUCGAUGUUGAAUAAGAAAGCGU
rnacentral:rRNA from 1 species